rnacentral:rRNA from 1 species
GACGAACCGUGCAAACGUUGUUCGGAUUCAUUGGGCGUAAAGGGUGCGUAGGCGGCGCGGUAAGUCGGGUGUGAAAUCUCGGAGCUUAACUCCGAAACUGCAUUCGAUACUGCCGUGCUUGAGGACUGGAGAGGAGACUGGAAUUUACGGUGUAGCGGUGAAAUGCGUAGAUAUCGUAAGGAAGACCAGUGGCGAAGGCGGGUCUCUGGACAGUUCCUGACGCUGAGGCACGAAGGUCAGGGGAGCAAACGGG